CUAUGAUGUUUUUAUGUCAUGGCGGAAGGAG
rnacentral:ncRNA from 1 species